rnacentral:misc_RNA from 1 species
UCCUCUUUACAGAGGCAGUUUCGUUCGAGUCCCCGACUUUACUCGCUGGUAACAAACGAUGAGGGUUGCGCUCGUUGCGGGACUUAACCCAACAUUUCACAACACGAGCUGACGACAGCCAUGCACCACCUGUGUAUCACCUUCGAAAGCGAUCGCUUUUCGGCGACUUGCAGAUACAUGUCAAGCCCUGGUAAGGUUCUUCGCGUUGCAUCGAAUUAAGCCACAUGCUCCACCGCUUGUGCGGUCCCCCGCCAAUUCCUUUGAGUUUCAACCUUGCGGCCGUAGUCCCCAGGCGGUUCACUUAAUGCGUUAGCUGCGGCACCGAGGGUUACCCCCCAACACCUAGUGAACAUCGUUUAAGGCCAAGACUAC